GUAAACCUCAGGAGGAAAAUGAUCGCAAAAUACAAAAUUGAUGUUAGUUUUUCCAGCAGAAAAUUAACACAAAGAACCUUAGGUUUUUACUGCCCAACUAAAGGUCCAGUGUGCUUCCAGCAAUGAAACAGUGACAAAAUGUUCAAAAUAAACAAUACUAAAGAACAGAAAAACCUGAUUUUAAGCGACGCUAAAACGAGCUACAGUAAAAGCCCAAACGCUCAGAAUCUUCCAUGAUCUUCUCGGGGAAAUAGCCAUAUAAGCUCGCGAGUCGAGCUCGGAAAACUAUAAAAGUUCCUUAUCUACUGCAUUGUGCAAUUGCGAACAAACGGAAUUUUACCCCUGUUCAAUGGAAGUUUCUCCAAGCUUUUAAUCGUUAAUUUGACAAAAUAUCAUCCUAGUUAGUAAAAACUGCGUUGUUAGUCAGUGUGAUUUUGCGCAGGAAAAAAAGUGAUCGAAACCUUCGAGCACUUUUGCCAAUAAGCAAUCGUAAAUAUGAAAAUGACCUGUUUUAUGCAGAAAUGCUAUUGUUCUGUUUAUGAACAAUGCAAAUGUGGUUUUUAUGGUGUUAUACAGUAUCAUUACUCAUAAUAGACACGUAGUCUAUUCUAGAUUCACCUUGAUAAAUGCUCAAAUUGAAGUGCCUACAUAUUUGUUUUAUCAGUUUGACUAUUUGCUUUGGAUUCACUAUCGAGGUGUCGAUUGCGACGCAAUAUUCGCCGUUCAUUGUGCAAUUUUGAGCACUGACCUACACAAGGUGCAAAGAAGAAAAAACCAGAUGACCCACAUCUGCACGAACACUGCAACAUGGAGCAUUAACUAGGCUGAACUUUAUCUCAUACAUCGUCGCCACAUAAAUUAAAUAACUUGGCAGUGGUAUAACUAAGGCCGUUUUUCACAUGGACAGUUUGUUUAGCAACUUUAAUUGCAACUGGCAUUACGGAUUUAGCUGCGAAUAACACACUCGGGUGGGUUCCCGUCCAAAUUUGUGGCGUGAUUUCUCAUUCCUGCCCAGGAACCAGUUCUGUUAACCGAAUAGAACCUGUCAGCCACACCCACAUAGAUUAAAUAGAAAAAGGUCUUGCAGGUACCUGCCUUGAAGAGCCCACCUGUGUCUACCAAUCAAUAAACCCCAAACAUUUAGAGAUAGAGGAUUUUUUAUUCCAAAGAACCUGAUGCAGUGAGGUGCCAACGAAAACACUUAAGGCCCGAGGAUAUUAGUGGGCGAUCUUAAGUAGCUUUUUAUACAAUUUGGGUUAUGAUUUUGUGUCUGAUAGCGUGUUAGAUGUUUUUUUGCAAAUAAAUAAUGAUAACAGUG